UACAGAGGGGGCUAGCGUUGUUCGGAAUUACUGGGCGUAAAGCGCGCGCAGGCGGUCUUCCAAGUCAGUGGUGAAAGCCCGGAGCUCAACUCCGGAACUGCCAUUGAAACUGUAAGACUUGAGGACGAGAGAGGUGAGUGGAAUUCCCAGUGUAGAGGUGAAAUUCGUAGAUAUUGGGAAGAACACCGGUGGCGAAGGCGGCUCACUGGCUCGUAUCUGACGCUCAGGCGCGACAGCGUGGGGAUCAAACAGG
rnacentral:rRNA from 1 species